rnacentral:rRNA from 1 species
GCUGGCGGCGUGCUUAACACAUGCAAGUCGAACGGUAACAGCAGAAGCUUGCUUCUGGCUGACGAGUGGCGCACGGGUGAGUAAUAUAUAGUUAAUGUGCCUCGAAGACUGGGAUAGCCACUGGAAACGGUGAUUAAUACUAGAUAGUCCUGCUAAACAUAAGUUUAGUUGGUAAAUGUUUUUUCGCUUCGAGAUCAGACUAUAUCGCAUCAGUUAGUUGGUGGGGUAAGAGCCUACCAAGACAAUGACGCGUAGCGGGUUUGAGAGGAUGAUCCGCCACACUGGUACUGAGACACGGACCAGACUCCUACGGGAGGCAGCAGUGAGGAAUAUUGCACAAUGGGGGAAACCCUGAUGCAGCAACGCCGCGUGGAGGAUGACGCAUUUCGGUGUGUAAACUCCUUUUAUAUGUCAAGAAAAUGACGGUAGCAUAUGAAUAAGCACCGGCUAACUCCGUGCCAGCAGCCGCGGUAAUACGGAGGGUGCAAGCGUUACUCGGAAUCACUGGGCGUAAAGGACACGUAGGCGGGUUGGAAAGUCAGGUGUGAAAUCCUACAGCUUAACUGUAGAACUGCACUUGAAACUUCCAACCUA